rnacentral:rRNA from 1 species
AAGCGGGGGAUCUUCGGACCUCUCGCUAUCAGAUGAGCCCAUGUCGGAUUAGCUAGUUGGUAGGGUAAAGGCCUACCAAGGCUACGAUCCGUAGCUGGUCUGAGAGGAUGAUCAGCCACACUGGAACUGAGACACGGUCCAGACUCCUACGGGAGGCAGCAGUGGGGAAUAUUGGACAAUGGGGGCGACCCUGAUCCAACCAUGCCGCGUGUGUGAAGAAGGCCUUAGGGUUGUAAAGCACUUUCAGUGGGGAGAAAGGUUAUUCACCUAAUACGUGAGUAAAUUGAUGCUACCCACAGAAGAAGCACCGGCUAAAUCCGUGCCAGCAGCCGCGGUAU